GGCCAUGUAGUUCAACGGACAGAACGGGGGUUUCCUAAACCCCAAAUCAGGGUUCGAUUCCCUGCGCGGCCA
rnacentral:tRNA from 1 species